UACGAGGGGGGCAAGCGUUGUUCGGAAUUAUUGGGCGUAAAGGGUGCGUAGGCGGUUUGACAAGUCUUAUGUGAAAUCUUCGGGCUCAACCCGAAGUCUGCAUGGGAAACUGUCGGGCUUGAGUAUGGGAGAGGUGAGUGGAAUUUCCGGUGUAGCGGUGAAAUGCGUAGAUAUCGGAAGGAACACCUGUGGCGAAAGCGGCUCACUGGACCAUAACUGACGCUGAGGCGCGAAAGCUAGGGGGAGCAAACAGGAUUAGAUACCCUGGUAGUCCUAGCCCUAAACGAUGAUUGCUUGGUGUGGCAGGUACCCAAUCCUGCCGUGCCGAAGCUAACGCGAUAAGCAAUCCGCCUGGGGAGUACGGUCGCAAGGCUGAAACUC
rnacentral:rRNA from 1 species